rnacentral:rRNA from 1 species
GACGAACGCUGGCGGCGCGCUUAACACAUGCAAGUCGAACGGAAAGGCCUGCUUUCCCUUGUGGAUUGCGGGUACUCGAGUGGCGAACGGGUGAGUAACACGUGAGUGAUCUGCCCCCAACUUGGGUAUAAGCCUGGGAAACUGGGUCUAAUUCCCGAUAGGACUGCAGGGUGGUGCCUGUGGUGGAAAACGAUUUUCUAGUGGUUGGGGAUGAGCUCGCGGCCUAUCAGCUUGUUGGUGGGGUAAUGGACUACCAAGGCGGCGACGGGUAGCCGGCCUGAGAGGGUGGACGGCCACAUUGGGACUGAGAUACGGCCCAGACGCCUACGGGAGGCAGCAGUGGGGAAUAUUGCACAAUGGGCGGAAGCCUGAUGCAGCGACGCCGCGUGGGGGAUGACGGCCUUCGGGUUGUAAACUCCUUUCGACCGCGAGGAAGCCACCUGGUUGGAAGGGUGGUGACGGUAGUGGUAGAAGAAGCACCGGCUAACUACGUG